UAACCCAACCAGUGUUCCUGGAUUCUGUACCAGUACAAACCUGUUCUCCGCAAGUAACUGCCAACUUCUCCACAUGAAUCAGAGGUGGAGGACGAAUGAUUGCAGACACAAUGUCUUUUAUCAAAUCGUCACGGAGAACAUACGCCCCGCCCGGGGAUCGAACUCACGACCCCACAAUCUGUAGAUCUGCGAUCUCCCUAUUGAUCUAAGCGGACGGGCUUUUUUUUUAGUAUGAGAUGACAGUCACGUUUUUCAUUUCCCAUUUGUACUUGUCGUGCUUCUGACCCCGGAAGUAAAACAUAUAACAAUUCCCACGGAAAUUGAUGUAAUUAAACAUUGAAUCAAGUAUAAGAAUUUGGUCCUAGAAGGGAGCAUUAAAGAGUGUAUGUGGAAAAUAAUUGUGAUUAUAACAUAAAAGUGUUGUUUCUUUGAUUUUUGUAGUGCCAUUUAAAGAAAAGUUAACAAAUAAACGAGUCUCAGCUGAAAGUCCAGCAUGGAAACCUAUGACACAAUAGAACCAGAAGAAAACUAUGCAUUUGAAAACCUAGAAAAAACGAACGCAACUUUAAGUGGAUUUUAUGAUGAUAUUCUGGGAACAAAAGAUCAGAAGGAAGGCGCGAACGCAGUUUCGAAAAGUGCCUGCGCUACAGCUACAAAAUGUCUAUUGUUCUUUGUAACGACGAGUGUUAUCUUAAGUCUAGGUUCUUUAGGCUUUACCGUUCUAGAGAAAGUGAAAGAAGCCCAAGUGGUAGUAUUUCAUGCAUCCAAUGCGACUGCCAUUUUAAACGAUUGACACCGGGAAAUCGUUUUCAGUGAUAUUAUGAUCAACGAAGGAGGGUCGUAUGAUAGUACGACUGGUAAAUUCACGGCACCUGUCAAUGGAAUAUACCAGUUCUCCGUUCAUUUGUGCGCAAAGACAGCGAUUAAGAUUUCUUAUAAUUUAAUUCACGGAAAGAAGCGUAUUCUGGGAAGAGAUUCUUAUAAAUAUGAGGGCGGCGGUACAUGCGCCUCCUUCAGUGUACCUGUGAUCGUGAAACAAAGCGAACUAGUAUAUGUAAUAAUUGAAAAUACCGCUUCAACAAACAAAAUUCUCUACCAGGAUGCAGAUGACUGGUACACUUUCUCAGGAGUUCUUGUUCGGGAGUUAAACUGAAGUUUAUGCUGUCACAUUGAAGACAGGUCAUUACUCUUACUUUUUUAAUUACUGCCCAAAAAUUAUAUUAUUGUGAAUAUUGCUGCGUUUUUUGGAACGUGGGUUUCCCUGUUGGAUAUUCUUCCUUGUUAUUAUAUUAUUGUGAAUAAACUGAUUUUGUAAAGCUU